CCCUCUCUCUCUCUCUCUCUCUCUCUCUCUCUCUCUCUCUCUCUCUCUCUCUCUCUUGUUUCUUACAUGACCCCAUCCAGUAUACCCUCCAAGCACCACCACCCAAUUCAUCUUCUUCAGUCAUUAACAAUCUUCUAACUUACACACAUAAAGACAUGAACUUGUAGGAACUGCCGUUCUCAGUGCAGACACUUGCAAACAUUUGCAAAUUAACAACCUGAAAAUCAAGCACGCAUACAUUGAGAAAAAGAUAAAAAAAGACAACUACAAUCACAAUGAAAAUUUGAAACUCCAACACACACACACACAACCAAAAUGAAAAUCAAACAACAAAAAUCGAAUUUUAAUUCCUAUCAACAUUCCUCUAAAUAUGUUUAAAAUCAACUAAUAUUUGAAAAACCACGUUUAAAAUCAAGUAUAAAGAACAAGGGACAUGAAUCUCAAUUAACUUUAAAACUAAUUUACAAAAUCUAUUUACAAUCUUUAAAUGAAAACAUAAAUGGAUUACACUUUAACACCAUAAAUUUGAUUAUCCAAAACAAAAUAAAUGAUUAUCCUUCAACACUAUUGAGUCAUCUUCCUAUGGAUGCAAAAAAUACCUCAAAGUAUGUUUGUAGGAAUUUGGUGAGAGAGGAAGUUGAAACUUUCAUGUGUAUUGGCAAAAUAAAGCUUCCAAUUGAUGUCUUAACCAAUCGAGUCGGUCUUGUGUAGAAGCUCAUAAUCCUACAUGAAAGGGAAAAGCUCAUCCUCUAAAACCGAUCAAGUAUUUUCUAGAUAGAAGUUGAAGGGGCGGAAUGGUCGUGAGAGAGAGAUAGAGAGAGAGAGAGAGAGAGGUAGAGAGAGAGAGAGUAGGUGUAUUUAUCAAAAUCUAAAUAACAUAUUUAUCAUUAUUAUCUUAAUUUUCAAAAUAUUGUAUUUAUCAAAAUCUAAUUAUUAUAUUCAAGAAAAAUUAUAAUAAAAAAAUUGCCAUAUUGCCCAUAAAUAUAACUUUAACCCCUAAAUAUCCCUGAUAAUGUAUAUGCAAAAUAGUUACAAAAAAUUCAUGGUUUUGCUUUCAUAUAGCCCAAGAUGUAUCGGGAAGAGUUUCAGGUCAAAGUCGAAAGGGUCAAAAGUUUACCUUAGAACUCAAACGCAAGUAAUAUAUCAACUUCAUGAUAGCAAUUUAACACCUAAACAUACCAACCUUCUUAUCAUGUAUAUACAGAACAAUCAUAAUUCGUGGGUUUGCAUUUUCUGUAGCCCAAAAUGUAUUAGGAGUGCGACGUCAAAGUCAUAAUGGUCAAAAUUCACCUCGAACUUAAACUCUAGUAAUAUAUCACCUUUCUGGUAACACUUUAGUCCUUACACAUCCCAACCUUCUUAUCACGUAUAUGCAGAAUAGUAAAAAAUAAUUCAUGGAUUUACAUUUUUUGUAUCCCAAGAUGCAUCAGGAGUGCAGAGUCAAAGUCAAAAUGGUCAAAAUUCACAUUUAAACUCAAACUCCAGUAAUAUACUUGUUGGGUUUUGUACGCAUGAAUACACUCUAACAAUGCAGCGGAAACAAUAAAAAUUCACCUAAGUAUACAUGCACCAUAGGAUCUAGGUUUACUAAUUAUAGCAGCUUACUUUAUUAAAUUGUAAAUCUAAUAAGAAAGACGAAAUUACUAAACUCUUGUGCAACUUAAUAUUGAUCUUUUUGACCCAUUCUUGAAGCUUCAUAAUCAAUCCAACCAUGUUUCUUGGAUGAGAGGACCCAAAGUAGAGUCACUCUAAUGGAAUCACACUUAAUAACUCCAAAGAGAGAACCAAUAGAAAAGAUAAGAGAUGGUCAAAUUUCUACAAACCCUAGGAAGGGUUAAGAAAUUCAUCCCAUAGAGAGAAAUAGAAGAAAUUAACAAAAAUUCAAGACAAGGUGCAAGGAGGAAUGAAACCCCUAACAUCCUAUAUAUAGCCUUAAAUCCCUUUCCAAGUUUAUCUCUAUCCCAUGUGGGAUAGAGAUAUAAUUUGAAAUAUUCUC
rnacentral:lncRNA from 1 species